UAUGCCCAAUGACACCCUUGCGAAGCAUCUCUUUCACUGGGAGAAUCAGACCAUUGAGUGGGCUAUGAGAUUAAGGGUAGCUUUAUAUAUUGCUGAAGCAUUAGACUAUUGUAGCUCUCAGGAACGUCCAUUGUACCAUGACUUGAAUGCUUAUAGAGUCCUAUUCGAUGAGAAUGGUGACCCUCGACUUUCUUGUUUUGGAUUGAUGAAAAACAGCAGGGAUG
rnacentral:misc_RNA from 1 species